UGCGAACGAAGACAAGAGAUCGAAAGAGAAAAGGAAAAAAAAGAAGAGCAAGAAAUAAACUUCUACGUAUUAAUUAUUUUUCCAGUGUUAUUUUUA
rnacentral:ribozyme from 17 species